UACGAAGGGGGCUAGCGUUGCUCGGAAUCACUGGGCGUAAAGGGUGCGUAGGCGGGUCUUUAAGUCAGGGGUGAAAUCCUGGAGCUCAACUCCAGAACUGCCUUUGAUACUGAGGAUCUUGAGUUCGGGAGAGGUGAGUGGAACUGCGAGUGUAGAGGUGAAAAUUCGUAGAUAUUCGCAAGAACACCAGUGGCGAAGGCGGCUCACUGGCCCGAUACUGACGCUGACGAUACGAAAG
rnacentral:rRNA from 1 species